rnacentral:rRNA from 1 species
UGGGGAAUAUUGGACAAUGGGCGCAAGCCUGAUCCAGCAAUGCCGCGUGUGUGAAGAAGGCCUUCGGGUUGUAAAGCACUUUUAUCAGGAGCGAAACGCUGUCGGCUAAUACCCGGCGGAACUGACGGUACCUGAGGAAUAAGCACCGGCUAACUUCGUGCCAGCAGCCGCGGCAAUACGAAGGGUGCAAGCGUUAAUCGGAAUUACUGGGCGUAAAGCGUGCGUAGGCGGUUUCUUAAGUCUGCUGUGAAAUCCCCGGGCUCAACCUGGGAAUGGCAGUGGAUACUGGGAGGCUAGAGUGUGUCAGAGGGUGGUGGAAUUCCCGGUGUAGCGGUGAAAUGCGUAGAGAUCGGGAGGAACAUCAGUGGCGAAGGCGGCCACCUGGGACAACACUGACGCUGAGGCACGAAAGCGUGGGGAGCAAACAGGAUUAGAUACCCUGGUAGUCCACGCCCUAAACGAUGCGAACUGGAUGUUGGUCUCAACUCGGAGAUCAGUGUCGAAGCUAACGCGUUAAGUUCGCCGCCUGGGGAGUACGGUCGCAAGACUGAAACUC